CGGGGUGUGGCGCAGUUGGUAGCGCGCAUCGUUUGGGACGAUGAGGCCAGAGGUUCAAGUCCUCUCACCCCGACCA
rnacentral:tRNA from 2 species